ensembl:lncRNA LINC01505 long intergenic non-protein coding RNA 1505
AAUGGAGCAGAGACUGGAGCAGAGACAAGUUGUUCCCACUGAGCUCUCCUCAGAUUACAGAUUGGUCUGAUUAUAAAAGGAGAAUUGGAGGCUUACCAAACAUCUGAAGAGCUUUCCAGAAGUUUGGUCACUUCUGAAUUAGAGAAGUUAAAACCCAAUCACCUACUAAUGCUGUGGGAAAGUUCUGCAGGUGAUACAUCACAGGGGCUCAUGAAUGUGUCUUAAGCUGGGUCAUUGAAGUGGAAUGUUUUCACAAGACCUCCUCCACUUGCUACUGUGUCCGGAAUUGGUGGGUUCUUGGUCUCACUGACUUCAAGAAUGAAGCCGCGGACCCUCGCGGGAGUGGCAAAUCAAAGGCAUUGCAGCCUCUUUCAUCACUGCCGAUUGCUGAUGCCAACCAUGUGCCAAGUGCUUAAUACGUCACCUUAAAUCUUCUCAUCCACCCUCAGAGUAGCUGCAGCAUCAACCCAGUGCCCUGACUUUCAAGACGACUAUGAAAACACCCCAACUGCUGCUAAAUUACCAGCAACAAGGAUCUGGAAUUUUCCUGACAAGAGCAGUGCCUAUCCUGAGGCAAUCGUAUUUCUCCUUGACUUCUCUCCAGUAUCAGCUUGUUGCUUGACACCCCUGCACAGCCAACUGUGUAAUGUGGGUGAGUCUAGCUGCAUUUUCUUCAGACACAAGCCUGGCUACCCAGUGCUAAGGUGACAUCAGGCCAGGCCACAGUAAGUCAUUUAUCCUCCACGCCUUCCUCUCCAGCCCUGAGUGAGGUGGAGUCCUUGAAACUAUCACCAUCCAGUGGAAAUCAGUGCUGCACUUUCAGGAGGUUAAGCAUGAAAAGAGCAUAAAAGGUGCUAUUACCCCGUGUCUCAGUAAUUCCCCUUCUGGAAACCUUUUCUGAGGAAAUGAUGUGAAAGGAUUCGGUCAUAGUGGCUGGUAGUUACUGAGCACUCACUAUGUGCUGACACUUAUAAUUGCCAGGUAUAUAUUGACUUAUUUAAUCAUCAUAACAACUCCAGGAGGAAGCAGUCAGGUUAUCCCCAUUUUUCAGAUGAGAGAACCAAAGAACAGUGAGACAAUUGUAUGUAUGUUCAUGCUGCUUAAGUGUGUAGGAGCUGAGAGUGAGCCCAGGUAGUCUGAUUUCACAAGUCCUCACUCUUGACUUCUAUACUAGUGUGGCCUCCAUGCACAAAGCUUGAUAUAAAUAGAAGAGGAAGAAGAAGAAGAAUGAGGAGGGAUGGGAGAGAAGGAAGAAGGGGAGCAGGAGAACAAAAGGAAGGAAAAGAACAGGACAGGAAGGAAGAUUUAGAAUAAAAGUUAAAUUUAUUGUUAUUUAUGAUAGUGAAAAUCUGGGCCAGGGCCAUUUGGGUCAAGUAUUCUGGCAUUACAGGUACCCAGGGUAUUCUGAAGAAAGAGAGUUCUAUGGGUACAGCUGCCUUCUCACUCACUGGGGAGGAGCACAGUACUGAGAGUGGGGCUUACGUUUACAAAGUUGGUAUGAAAAUUAAUAGGCAUCUACAUUCCUAGAUGUCAAUAAAUAGAGUGAGAGUUGUUUGUUUGCUUGCAUAUUGGAAUGGAGAAAAAUAGGUCCAGUCCUAACAAACUUUAAAUUACUUCUGCUCUUCCCUUCUUCCUGAACACUUUCAUCUGUCCACAUUACUAUGCGAAUUUUUUGAUGCUGUCAAUGGGAAUUUUUAAAAUAAGUAUGUUGCUAUGUCAAAAAAUUUGGAAAUUAAAAGAUGUUGUUUUACAUUCUUGGCA